AGUGGAAGGUGACCGAGCCUAAUAUUUAGGUUAGGAAAGUCCAUGCUAGCACAUUCUGUAAUGAAUGUAGUGUUUGUGCCUAAGGAAACAAUAACUUAGGGUGCAUCAAUUGAUGUAACGGCGUUUGAUGAUCUAAAGCUUCGGCUAUGAUCUAGAACUUAAUGUGCCACAGAGACGAGUCACUUAGAAAUAAGUGAAUGAAACGCGGUAAACCCCUCAAGCUAGCAACCCAAAAUUUGGUAGGGGCACGCAUAUGAGCGAACAAAAGUGAAUAUGCGCUACACAGUAGAGAUAAAUGGUCACACCCGUAAGGGAACAGAACAUGGCUUAUGCAC
rnacentral:RNase_P_RNA from 1 species